rnacentral:SRP_RNA from 1 species
GAAGCAUCUUCACUCAAUAGGUAUCCACGAAUUAGGUCAGGUCUUGACGGAAGCAGCCUUAAGUAAGGUAUUUAUGUGGGUGGAGAUGCUUCAUC